rnacentral:lncRNA from 1 species
AUGCUAAUGGAAGAGGAAAAGUUUUCAGAUGAGAUGGACCCCCAAGAGAUGAGCGAGAACCCCCAAUUGCUUAGGGGUCGCACUCUGUCCCGCUUGGUGGACGAAAUCUUCUCUCCUUUUAGAAUUAUUUCUCCCACACACCUUUUUUGCCCUCUUUCACCGAGGAGGAAAGAAUAAUCUUCCAAGCGGACAGAGACAAAAAUUUCCAUUAGAUUCAUUCCUAAGCUUGCUUUGUUGCAGCAAGAUGAUCAGUCCGAGAGUGCUGGAGAGAAGAGAAAGCUGGAAGAGGAAAAGUUUUCAGAUGAGAUGGACCCCCAAGAGAUGAGCGAGAACC